UACUAACUCUUUCUUCGUGCUUAACACAUGCAAGUCGAACGGAAAGGCCCUGCUUUUGUGGGGUGCUCGAGUGGCGAACGGGUGAGUAACACGUGAGUAACCUGCCCUUGACUUUGGGAUAACUUCAGGAAACUGGGGCUAAUACCGGAUAGGAGCUCCUGCUGCAUGGUGGGGGUUGGAAAGUUUCGGCGGUUGGGGAUGGACUCGCGGCUUAUCAGCUUGUUGGUGGGGUAGUGGCUUACCAAGGCUUUGACGGGUAGCCGGCCUGAGAGGGUGACCGGCCACAUUGGGACUGAGAUACGGCCCAGACUCCUACGGGAGGCAGCAGUGGGGAAUAUUGCACAAUGGGCGGAAGCCUGAUGCAGCAACGCCGCGUGCGGGAUGACGGCCUUCGGGUUGUAAACCGCUUUCGCCUGUGACGAAGCGUGAGUGACGGUAAUGGGUAAAGAAGCACCGGCUAACUACGUG
rnacentral:rRNA from 1 species